rnacentral:rRNA from 1 species
CAGCCGCCACGGGAAUACAGAGGGUGCGAGCGUUAAUCGGAUUUACUGGGCGUAAAGCGUGCGUAGGCGGCUUCUUAAGUCUGAUGUGAAAUCCCUGAGCUUAACUUAGGAAUUGCAUUCGAUACUGGGAAGCUAGAGUAUGGUAGAGGGUGGUAGAAUUUCCUGUGUAGCGGUGAAAUGCGUAGAUAUAUGAAGGAAUAUCAGUGGCGAAGGCGACCACCUGGACUGAUACUGACACUGAGGUGCGAAAGCGUGGGGAGCAAACAGGAUUAGAUACCCGCGUAGUCCCUGUCUCUUAUAC